CCUACGGGUGGCAGCAGUGGGGAAUAUUGGACAAUGGGCGAAAGCCUGAUCCAGCCAUGCCGCGUGUGUGAAGAAGGCCUUCGGGUUGUAAAGCACUUUCAGUGGGGAAGAAAGCCUUGGGGCUAAUACCCUCGAGGAAGGACAUCACCCACAGAAGAAGCACCGGCUAACUCCGUGCCAGCAGCCGCGGUAAUACGGAGGGUGCGAGCGUUAAUCGGAAUUACUGGGCGUAAAGCGCGCGUAGGCGGUCUGAUAAGCCGGUUGUGAAAGCCCCGGGCUCAACCUGGGAACGGCAUCCGGAACUGUCAGGCUAGAGUGCAGGAGAGGAAGGUAGAAUUCCCGGUGUAGCGGUGAAAUGCGUAGAGAUCGGGAGGAAUACCAGUGGCGAAGGCGGCCUUCUGGACUGACACUGGCGCUGAGGUGCGAAAGCGUGGGUAGCAAACAGGAUUAGAUACCCUAGUAGUC
rnacentral:rRNA from 1 species